rnacentral:rRNA from 1 species
GGGUAUCUAAUCCUGUUUGCUCCCCACGCUUUCGUGCAUGAGCGUCAGUACAGGCCCAGGGGAUUGCCUUCGCCAUUGGUGUUCCUCCGCAUAUCUACGCAUUUCACUGCUACACGCGGAAUUCCAUCCCCCUCUGCCGUACUCUAGCCUUGCAGUCACAAAUGCAGCUCCCAGGUUGAGCCCGGGGAUUUCACAUCUGUCUUGCAAAGCCGCCUGCGCACGCUUUACGCCCAGUAAUUCCGAUUAACGCUCGCACCCUACGUAUUACCGCGGCUGCUGGCACGUAGUUAGCCGG